rnacentral:lncRNA from 1 species
AGCGCAGCCGUUGGCGCCACUUUCAAACCCUCCACUGACAGAAUGAGAGCCUGGCUUCAAAUACAUUUUACACACCACUUUAUUUCACUUUUUCCUAAUUACCAUUAGACUGGGAAUAUUUUGACAGGACAUUUCUUUUGGAGAUUAUUUUCCCUUAAGCUGAAAUUCCUGGGUUCCAACACAGGCCUGGAAAGUCUGGGAAAAGAAAUUGAUAUCUGACGCAUCAUUCCAAAUCAUUAUGUGCUGCCACCGUGAGCCAUGGGAUUCCCAACACUUUUCUGAUACUGAUGAGGGUGUGCAAUCUGUGGACACAUCCUGUUCUUCUGCUUUACAUCCCUGCCGUCAGAUGAACAUAUACUUACAAAAAAAUAACUUUAAGAAAUUAAAGGGGAAAAAAAUCCAUGUUUUGGUUCAUUUUCUAAAAAAAUUUAACAGCUUUAAAGAGAAACAACAACAACAACUAUCAAAUAGACUAGAGCAUCCUGCCGAUUGGCUGACUCUAAUUAGUAUUCUACCUGUUGUGUUGCUCUCACGUAAGAGGUCACACAGUAUUCCUGCUAACACACAUUGAUAAAAUCAGGUAUUUGUUGAAGAAAACACCCCCAAAAAUGGAAAAUGGGAACCUCUACUAGAAAUGAAUAAAAACUGUCAGUGCAAAACUUGAAAUCUUGUUGCUUUUGAUUGCUGAAUAUUUAAGAGAAUAUGAAUUACUAAAAUCUGUCCA